rnacentral:rRNA from 1 species
UGGCGAUGAACGGAAUAGCCCAUCGCCGAACUGCAGGCCUUCUCGGUCUCGCGGAAUGUGGCGUUUGGGAGAGUCUUCUCGUAGUGUGGACGGCCAGUCAAAGUCCAACUUGACAGUGGCCAUGGCCCAUAGAGGGUGAUAGGCCCGUAAGGCGGCUGUCCUGCUACGCUGACUUUUCCCUAGAGUCGGGUUGCUUGGGAGUGCAGCCCAAAGUGCGAGGUAAACUCCUCGUAAGGCUAAAUAUGACCCCGAGACCGAUAGCAAACAAGUACCGUGAGGGAAGAUUGAAAAGAACUUUGAAGAGAGAGUUCAAGAGUACGUGAAACUGUGUGGUGGUAAACAGAGGGGUUCUCGAAGUUUCUGAGGGGGACUCAACCUUGGAGGCGGUGGGCCUGGCCAUUUUAGAUCAGCAAUGACUUUGUGUCUAGUCCCCAGCUCCUCUCGGACGCACUUUCUCCUCAGUUUACGGCAGGAACUGUUAGGAGUGAACCAAAGGCCCGUGGUGAAGUUGAUUUCGGUCAGCCCUCGGUGUCCUGGCUUUGCACCUGACAGGUAUGUAAGCAGACUCGUAUAGCGAGCAAUUCUCUAUUGCAGUUUGCAUCUCUCUGCCGAGUAGGUCGGUGGCCCCUCUGACCCGUCUUGAAACACGGACC